GGACGAUUAGCUCAGCUGGGCCUGCCUUACAAGCAGGAUGUCGGCAGUUCGAUCCUGUCAUCGUCCACCA
rnacentral:tRNA from 1 species